AUGAUUCAAUUUGAAGAUGAUGACCUUGGCCCACCAGCUCCUCCUAACCUAUUCAGUCAUCUCACGGAAGGAGAACUUGAAGAAUAUAAGAAGACAAUUGAAUGGAAACAACAAGGCCUAGAAGAAAACCAUGAGAUAUUUUCCAAGAGCUUCAUCUCUAUGGAAGUGCCUGUCAUGGUAGUAAAUGGCAAGGAUGAUAUGCACGAUGUUGAAGAUAAGCUUGCUAAUCGAGUGAGUAGAUUAAUUACAAGUAUGACCAUAGAAAACAUCGAGAUUACCAUCAAGUCUCCAGAAAAAAUUGAAGAAGUCCUGUCACCUGAGAUGGUUCACCUUCAAAAUCAUCAUCUAAGAAAAAGAAGAAAUUCCGCACUCCUUCUUUUCUGAAAAAGAACAAGAAAAAAGAGAAAGUUGAAGCCUAACUAAAGUCUUUUUAUAAUUACUACAAUGUGACAUUGCACAUUUAAUACCACAUUUAAGUUGAUCAUUAAUAUACAGUGGUAGAUCAGAUUGAGGGUAUGUAGCAAACUGGACUUUAAGAACUGGAAGAGGUUUUACUAAAAGAAAAAUAUUAUGCCCUCCCUUCAACCCCUCCAUCCCUCUCUAUUUACAAAGGCUUUGUUUCCAUUUUCUUGUUUCCAGGAAGGGGGAAAAAUAAGAACCAAGAGGGAUUAUGCAAAGGUGCAAAUUUCCAAUGGUGAAUGUCAUUAUAUUGUAUACCUAAAAUGUACCAAAAAAAAAUUAAAAAAAAAAAAGAAAAAUAUUAUGAAAAAAACUUUGAAAUUCAUCUCUUGUUUUUGUUUUUUUUUGGUACUGGGGAUCAAACUCGGGUCCUUGCACUUGUGCAGCAGGUGGCGAAACCGCUGAGCUAAAUCCCCGGCCUCAUCUCUUUUUAUAUGUCCAAACAUGGCUUUGAAGUUUUAAACAGUUGCUAGUUUUAAUUAGCUCUGCUCUCAUGAAGUAUUAUUAUAGUUCACCACAAAUGUAUCUGAAUUGCUUCAGGACUUCUUCAUAAUAACUGUUGGAAAAAAAUUGCCAAGGAAGAAGUGAGAAUAUUUAUUUCUCCACACCUUCUACAGUUAAUAAUCAGAUUAUGAUUUUUCCUUUUUUUUUUUUUUUUUGGUACUGGGGAUCGAACUUGGGACCUUAUGCUUGUGAAGCAGGCAGUGG
rnacentral:lncRNA from 1 species